rnacentral:tRNA from 1 species
GUACAAGAAGCGAUAUACUUGCCUGUGGUUUCGGCCCACAAUUUGAGGGACCAACAACCUUCCUUGUAUU